UUCAGCACAGGGUAAUCUGUUGAGAA
rnacentral:piRNA from 1 species